CCUACGGGUGGCAGCAGUCGAGAAUUUUUCGCAAUGGGGGAAACCCUGACGGAGCGACGCCGCGUGGAGGAUGAAGGUCUUCGGAUUGUAAACUCCUGUCAUUGGUGAACAAAGUACUUCCGUUAACUGCGGAGGUGCCUGCUAGUAGCCGAAGAGGAAGGGACGGCUAACUCUGUGCCAGCAGCCGCGGUAAUACAGAGGUCCCGAGCGUUGUUCGGAUUCAUUGGGCGUAAAGGGUGCGUAGGCGGUCUGCUAAGUUUGAUGUGAAAUCCCGGGGCUCAACCCUGGAAUUGCAUUGAAUACUGGCGGACUAGAGUACCGGAGAGGAAACUGGAAUUUACGGUGUAGCAGUGAAAUGCGUAGAGAUCGUAAGGAAGACCAGUGGCGAAGGCGAGUUUCUGGACGGUAACUGACGCUGAGGCACGAAGGCCAGGGGAGCA
rnacentral:rRNA from 1 species